rnacentral:lncRNA from 1 species
GUUUUAAGCUACCCAGUUUGUAGUAAUUUGCGACAGCAGCCCGAGGAAACCAAUGCAUCUAGUUAAGAACUCUUAGUGACAGCAGGCCCACCUAACGAGUGAAGGGAAGUCCUAUGGAUAUUUGGAAGGAAGUCAAGAUUCCAAGGAGACGUAGGAGUUCUUGGUAUUAGGCCUUACUGAAGGUCUUGGAAAAUCUUGCAGAAGUUAACCAUCUGAUUUCUCCGGUGUCACCAGCGGACUAUGUCUAAAUGCAUGUAAUGGUGAUUGGCAUCUUGCUAGCUCUAAAGUGGUUUCUGUUGCAUCAUGACAUAUUUGAAAAGAUGACGUGAAAAGCUGAAAAAUGGUAACCACCCAGAUCAAGCUCUUAGAAUGAAAACAAGGAUUUAAAGUGCUGCAGCCAGUCGUUUAUCCACUGUCAUCCUAAGGGUCCCUGGCUCCUGGACAUGUUAGUGAGCUGGGAUUUGAUCCUACACAAAGAUUUCAGGGAUGCUGUGAUGCAGUGUCUUCAAAAUCAAAGGCAACUAAGUCAAAUAUACUAAUGAUUGUGACAUUUCUGCUUCAGUUUCUGAGUUAGAAAAUAGAAAGCACCUGUAAUUCCAACCUCCGAGGUGAUCCACUGUUUCCAUGAUGCCCCAGUACAUGGUUGUAUAUUCUAGUUGUAAGUCGUUCCAGUUCUUCCAUGUGAGCCACCACCACAGCAUGGCAACUGGCAGAUAGAUGUUGUGGUUCUGUGACCAGAAAGUGAACCCAGGCCACCAAGAAGUGAAGACAGGGAGGCUUAGAGACAUGAAGUAGCUCACCAGGGUGACACAACUGGGAAGGGGCAGAGUUGAGAUUCAAACCCAGGUCUACCUGACCCUAUAGUUUGAGUGAAAGAAGAUGGAUUAGGACAUUUCCCUCUUCUUUCAGCUCUAUUGCCCCCUCCAGUUCCUUCCCUGUCCUCUCAUAAAUGAAGCACAGACUGAAGAUAAAACAGAAGAUCCUGUUUUGGAAGGUUUUUCAUCCUCUCAGGAGGAAUGAGACGAGGGUCCUCUGAACAAGCCAUGAAUGUUGGUCCUCCAUGCAUCCCACUCCAUGUUCCUCGCAGUGUUUCCUGAGCUUAUGCACAUC